AGGCUUAAUUAUUAAUUGGUAUUAAUUUAGAAAUCGAAAUUCUAAUAUUACAGUUCGAUUCUGUUUAACUCUA
rnacentral:tRNA from 1 species